rnacentral:rRNA from 1 species
UACAGAGGUCUCAAGCGUUGUUCGGAUUCAUUGGGCGUAAAGGGCGCGUAGGUGGCGCGGUAAGUCGGGUGUGAAAUUUCGGAGCUUAACUCCGAAACUGCAUUCGAUACUGCGGUGCUUGAGGACUGGAGAGGAGACUGGAAUUCAUGGUGUAGCAGUGAAAUGCGUAGAGAUCAUGAGGAAGACCAGUGGCGAAGGCGGGUCUCUGGACAGUUCCUGACACUGAGACACGAAGGCCAGGGGAGCAAACGGG